UUGAGCUAGACUAGAUAAUUUGGAAUGUUGGUGACCUUGUAGCAGCAGUCAAGAAUUCAUUUGGAUAUGUUUGGUUUUGAUGUGCAGUCACCAUUGCCUCUUACUUUUAAAUCCAAGACUCCAAUAUAGCUAAGACAGUUGCACCAUUGCAGCUUGAAAUGGUGAUGUACCACUCAGAUUUUGGUUUGUAGCAUUGGACCCUGAAUCCAGGAUAUCUCCUGUUUUUGCCUUUCCUGAAGUUACGGUCUUAACAUUACCGAUAGACUGAUUCCGCUUUAUAACAGGAACUUUUUUCUUUAAAAGGUAUUUGGUUUUUAGAAAUGCUUUCAUUCUGUGCCAGUUUUGGCCUGUCAUAUCUCACAGGGCAGCAUUGUGUAUUGCCAAGGUUUUCACCAGAUCAAAGUCUCACUUGCUUCACCAGUUGACUAGCUUUGGUCGUGGGCUGGUUUUUCUGCAGGAUGUGUCAUGAUUGCAGCAGCUUUCAUGAGCCUUCUCCAUUAUCACGAGUCCAAAGCCUACUGCAUAUGUAAGUAUGUCUAAUAAUCAUGUAAACAUCAUGGUGCUAUUGCAAGAUUUUAGGCAAGGCAAUAUGCAACAGGAUAUUGAAUGGACUGCUGCAGCAGUAGGGCUAGCAAAUCAUGUAUUUCCAUUGGAUUGAUCGUGCAUUUCCAUGGUUUGAUGAGUUGUUUUUGGUUAGCCAAGAGUGAUAAGUGAAGUUGGUUUGUUGCAAGUUGUGUGCCUUGAUGCACUGCUUGCUGCAGAGUUUAUUUGGCUUAUGGCAUGAGGUUUAACAGGUUCACCACUGGUUAUGUGCUUAUGGUGCUGCUGCAAGAUAAUAAGCAAGGGUGCACAC